rnacentral:tRNA from 1 species
GCUAGUGUAGCUCAAUAGGCAGAGCAGCUGAUUUGUAAUCAGCAGGUUGCUGGUUCGAUUCCGGUCACUAGCUCCA